rnacentral:rRNA from 1 species
CAGCCGCCGCGGGAAUACGUAGGUCCCGAGCGUUGUCCGGAUUUAUUGGGCGUAAAGCGAGCGCAGGCGGUCGGAUAAGUCUGAAGUUAAAGGCUGUGGCUUAACCAUAGUACGCUUUGGAAACUGUUUAACUUGAGUGCAAGAGGGGAGAGUGGAAUUCCAUGUGUAGCGGUGAAAUGCGUAGAUAUAUGGAGGAACACCGGUGGCGAAAGCGGCUCUCUGGCUUGUAACUGACGCUGAGGCUCGAAAGCGUGGGGAGCAAACAGGAUUAGAUACCCCCGUAGUCCCUGUCUCUUAUACA